UACGGGAGAUGCGAGCGUUAUCCGGAUUUAUUGGGUUUAAAGGGUGCGUAGGCGGCGCUUCAGGUCAGCGGUGAAAUACCGGGGCUCAACCCCGGCGAGCCGUUGAAACUGCCGUGCUAGAGAGGAAGAGAAGUAGGCGGAAUGCGCAGUGUAGCGGUGAAAUGCUUAGAUAUUGCGCAGAACUCCGAUUGCGAAGGCAGCCUACCGGCUUCUGUCUGACGCUGAGGCACGAAAGCGUGGGUAUCGAACAGG
rnacentral:rRNA from 1 species